GAGUAAUGCUUAGGAAUCUGCCUAUUAGUGGGGGACAACAUUCCGAAAGGAAUGCUAAUACCGCAUACGCCCUACGGGGGAAAGCAGGGGAUCUUCGGACCUUGCGCUAAUAGAUGAGCCUAAGUCAGAUUAGCUAGUUGGUGGGGUAAAGGCCUACCAAGGCGACGAUCUGUAGCGGGUCUGAGAGGAUGAUCCGCCACACUGGGACUGAGACACGGCCCAGACUCCUACGGGAGGCAGCAGUGGGGAAUAUUGGACAAUGGGCGAAAGCCUGAUCCAGCCAUGCCGCGUGUGUGAAGAAGGCCUUUUGGUUGUAAAGCACUUUAAGCGAGGAGGAGGCUACUUAGAUUAAUACUCUAGGAUAGUGGACGUUACUCGCAGAAUAAGCACCGGCUAACUCUGUGCCAGCAGCCGCGGUAAUACAGAGGGUGCGAGCGUUAAUCGGAUUUACUGGGCGUAAAGCGUGCGUAGGCGGCUUCUUAAGUCGGAUGUGAAAUCCCUGAGCUUAACUUAGGAAUUGCAUUCGAUACUGGGAAGCUAGAGUAUGGGAGAGGAUGGUAGAAUUCCAGGUGUAGCGGUGAAAUGCGUAGAGAUCUGGAG
rnacentral:rRNA from 1 species